rnacentral:rRNA from 1 species
UACGGGGGGGGCAAGCGUUGUUCGGAAUUACUGGGCGUAAAGGGCUCGUAGGUGGCCAACUAAGUCGGACGUGAAAUCCCUCGGCUUAACCGGGGAACUGCAUCUGAUACUGGAUGGCUUGGAUUCGGGAGAGGGAUGCGGAAUUCCAGGUGUAGCGGUGAAAAUGCGUAGAUAUCUGGAGGAACACCGGUGGCGAAGGCGG